UACGUAGGGGGCGAGCGUUGUCCGGAUUUCUUGGGCGUAAAGAGCUCGUAGGCGGUUUGGCAAGUCGGGUGUGAAAACUCCGGGCUCAACUCGGAGACGCCACUCGAUACUGCCAUGACUCGAGUCCGGUAGGGGAGUGCGGAAUUCCUGGUGUAGCGGUGAAAUGCGCAGAUAUCAGGAGGAACACCGGUGGCGAAGGCGGCACUCUGGGCCGGUACUGACGCUGAGGAGCGAAAGCGUGGGGAGCGAACAGG
rnacentral:rRNA from 1 species